CUCCUUUAAGAAUAGGCUCAGGGGAGACGUUAUUGCUCUCUACAGCUGCCUGAAAGGAGGCUGUGGCAAGGUGGGGGUCGAUCUCUUCUCCCAGAUAACUGUGAUAGGAUGAGAGGGAGUGGCCUUAAGUUAUGCCAAGGGUAGAUCAGGUUGGAUAUUAGGAAACGUAUCUCAGAAAGAGUGGUGAGGCAGUGGCACAGGCUGCCUAGGGAGGUGGUGGAGUCACCGUCCCUUGAGGGGUUCAGGAAAAGGGCAGAUGUGACACUGAGGGACAUGGUAGGUGGGUAUGGUGGGGAUGGGCUGAUUAUUGGACUAGGUUACCUCAGAGGUCUUUUUCAACCUUAAUGGUUCUGUGAUUCUAUGAUUCUCUAAUAAACCGUGGUGAUAUUCUGCCUUGAUUUCCAGUGACUUCUUUGGUUUUGGGUACAUUUUUGCAAAGUCAAGACUAUCUACAAGUAAAGGGCUGAUUUCAAGUAACACUGUGCAGAAAGCAACACUUAUUUUGGUUCCUAAACACCUUGCAAGAGAUGCUGAUCUGAGCAGGAAAUAGGUGUUCCUUAUUCUAUUUGAGUCAUGCCCAGCAUCUUGAAAGGGAAGCUCUUCAUGAUGUGGAGUGUUUCUGACUGUGCUGAGGGUGUAAUAGAGGAGCUGACAAUGUGGCUAGUGGAUGCACACAAAGUACCACUGGGGCUAGGUGAGAAGAUGAAGUAAAGACAGCUUUAUGCCACCCAUAGCUUUUCCUGGACCCUGUAAUUUCCAAAGGCACACUAGCUUGUUGCACGUUUAGGGUGGAUAGUGAUAGGACAAGGAGGAGUGGUCUUAAACUGAGACAGGGGAGGUUUAGGUUAGAUAUUAGGAGGAAGUUUUUCAGGCAGAGGGUAGUGACGCACUGGAACAGGUUGCCCAAGGAGGCUGUGGAUGCCCCAUCCCUGGAGGCAUUCAAGGCCAGGCUGGAUGUGGCUCUGGGCAGCCUGGUCUGGUGGUUGGUGACCCUGCACAUAGCAGGGGGCUUGAAACUUGAUGAUCAUUGUGGUCCUUUUCAACCCAGGCCAUUCUAUGAUUCUAUGAUACAUUCAGAAUUCUUACAUAUUAAUAUAUAGAUUAAUAUUAUAACCUUAUAUUAGAACCAGUGCUCUUUGUAGAUGAGCUCUAUAUCACUUUGUGUAUCUGCCCAGCCCUCACCACUUUGUACCACUCUACCAGUUUUUAAGUCAUAAAGAUAUUUAUUUCCAGCAGUAAUUUAUGUUCCCCUCUUGAUUACCAACACAAACAUAAUCUAGCAUGGUGCCCAGUACUAAUUUACGCAGAGUAAAAGUCUGCAUUAUCAUCUGGUCUCCUGAUGAAAAUGCUACUUCAGGAAGCGUGUGAAGGGCUUGGAGAAUAUGCCCUAUGAGGAGUGACAAAAGGAACUGGGGCUGUUUAGUCUGGGGAAGAGGGGGCUGAGGGGAGACCUUUUUGCUCUCUUCCAAUACCUGAAAGGUGCUUACAGCGAGAGCGCGGUUGGUCUCUUCUCACUGCUGACAGGUGACAGGACAAGGGGAAAUGGCCUCAAGUUAAACCAGGGGAAGUUUAAGUUGGAUAUCAGGAAAAACUUCUUUACAGAAAGGAUUGUUAAGCACUGGAAUGGGCUCCCCAGGGAGGUGGUUGAGUCACCAUCCCUGGAUGUGUUUAAAAACCGUUUGGAUGCGGUGGUCAGGGACAUGAUGUAGUGGAGGGUUGUUAGGGUAGUAUGGUCAGGUUGUGGUUGGACUCGAUGAUCUUUAAGGUCUUUUCCAACCUGAGUAAUUCUAUGCUUCUAUGAUUCAGUUUGUUGCCUACUUCAGAAC
ensembl:lncRNA